GAAACCGCUUAGAGGCAAACGGGUGGAACCGCAAUGCGUCGACCCGGGGGAUUCAGUCGGUCCGUCGGGACGAGCCGGGGAACCGCGGAGCGCACCAGCGCCCGCGCCUCGGCUCGGUCUCCGCUGCGACCGGUGCACUUUCCCCGGCGUGGACGGCCACGACCGGCCCUCCAAGCAAGCGCGGCCAGAGAGCUAUCGCCGGUAAGGUGCCCGCAGCGGGUGGGGGGUUCGUCCUCCCCUCGCGCACGAGUCGGGUCUUACAGACCGGCUAGCCUAGGAGCUCGCCGGAGGGCCGAGGGAGAGCGCCGCCCGCCGCCGCGCGCCGGCCAUCCCCGCUCGAGUCAGCCUGGUCGUCAGUGCUCCGUCAGUGGCGUCCGAAAGCGAGCGCGGGAAGGUCGGGCCGCGCGCGACGGGCUUCGGGCCGGUGGCGAAUCGGUCGGCCUUCCACCCGACC
rnacentral:rRNA from 1 species